rnacentral:rRNA from 1 species
CCAAUGGCACUGCCCGGUAGCUAAAUGCGGAAGAGAUAAGUGCUGAAAGCAUCUAAGCACGAAACUUGCCCCGAGAUGAGUUCUCCCUGAGACCUUGAGUCUCCUGAAGGAACGUUGAAGACGACGACGUUGAUAGGUCGGGUGUGUAAGCGCAGCGAUGCGUUGAGCUAACCGAUACUAAUGAACCGUGAGGCUUAACCUU